UUGGUAAGCUGGCUCAGCUAGAGGGCUGGUGGAUCUGGUUUCUAGCGACCAGAUUACAGGUUCGAAUCCUGUCUUACCAAUC
rnacentral:tRNA from 1 species